CAGUAGUGACAGGUCAGAGACAGAA
rnacentral:piRNA from 1 species